rnacentral:rRNA from 1 species
AGUGAACGCUGGCGGUAGGCCUAACACAUGCAAGUCGAACGGCAGCACAGUAAGAGCUUGCUCUUACGGGUGGCGAGUGGCGGACGGGUGAGGAAUACAUCGGAAUCUACUUUUUCGUGGGGGAUAACGUAGGGAAACUUACGCUAAUACCGCAUACGACCUACGGGUGAAAGCAGGGGAUCUUCGGACCUUGCGCGAUUGAAUGAGCCGAUGUCGGAUUAGCUAGUUGGCGGGGUAAAGGCCCACCAAGGCGACGAUCCGUAGCUGGUCUGAGAGGAUGAUCAGCCACACUGGAGCUGAGACACGGUCCAGACUCCGACGGGAGGCAGCAGUGGGAAUAUUGGACAAUGGGCGCAAGCCUGAUCCAGCCAUACCGCGUGGGUGAAGAAGGCCUUCGGGUUGUAAAGCCCUUUUGUUGGGAAAGAAAAGCAGCAGGUUAAUACCCCGCUGUUCUGACGGUACCCAAAGAAUAAGCACCGGCUAACUUCGUG